GGCCUUUUGAGUAUAAUUUAAGGUCGGGCCUGCCCAAUGAAAGUAUUUAAUGGCCGCGGUAUAUUAACUGUGCUAAGGUAGCAUAAUCAUUAGUUUUUUAAUUGAAAGCUGGAAUGAAGGGUUUAAUGAAAAAAGUUCUGUUUCUAUUUAAAUUUAUUAGAAUUUUAUUUUUAAGUUAAAAAGCUUAAAUAAUUAUUGAAGACGAGAAGACCCUAUAGAGUUUUAUAUUUUUAAAGAUUACUGUAUUUGGAAAUUUUAACUUAAUUUUUAGAAUUAUUUAGUUGGGGUGAUUGAAAAAUUAAAAGAACUUUUUCUUUAUUGAACAUUAAUGUAUGAAUGAAUGAUCCUUAUUUUAAGAUUAAAAGAAUAAAUUACCUUAGGGAUAACAGCGUAAUUUUUUUUAGAGUUCUUAUCAAAAGAAAAGAUUGCGACCUCGAUGUUGGAUUAAAAUAAGUUUUUGGUGCAGAAGCUAAAAAACUAGGUCUGUUCGACCUUUAAAUUUUUACAUGAUCUGAGUUUAGACCGGUUUGAG
rnacentral:rRNA from 1 species